GGUCUCGAGGCUAGUUGCAUGCUGAAUCGAUUUACCACCUGUCUGCUGUCCCAUGAUCAUUAUAUGAAACAAAGGACACUGAUAAUCCAUAAUCAUAACCACAGUAGAGGUUUAAUAAGUCUAUCCAAGUUGACCUCUGAAGGUGUGUAUUUGUGAAUUCCAGUCAAACCUGUCAAACAGGUUUUAGGGACAGUAACACCACAUGAAUUUUAUUAACACCUUCAAUGAAUGCUGGUUACAAAUAUGGUCUGAUUAUGUAUGAAUUUUUCACCUUAGCACCUCUUUAUUGCUACUGCUUUAACACCAAGAUAUUUUCCAACACAUUAUUUUCUUCAUCAAUAUAUCACUGAACAGAAGACAAGUGUAUUUCACAGAUUUAGAGUCAUGUAUUAAUUAAAAAUAGUCAAAAACAACUAAGCUUGUGUUCCACAUUCACUAAAGACAAGUCUAUGUUUUAAUAAGUUUAUUCUCGAGCCAUGCUCUGGCCUCCGGGUCCUGACAGCUCCUACAGGGGCCAAAGAAAAACAGUUUUAAAAGCCAGCAGGCGAAACUGUACAUUCAUAAAUUGUAUACAAGUUGCUAUAUCAAAAUGCAUAACACACAACAGUUUAAAGCUGCAGUUACAAUAUACAAGGAGAAUACUCAACUCUGCGAGACAAUUCAGACAAGCAGCACAAUCACUUACCCUAGACUCCUGCACCAGAGCACAGAGGUCACAGAACAGGACACACAAGAGAUCCUUGAUACAUGAGCCUUCGAUUCCCUUCUGCUCCCUGAUCUUUCCACGGAUCUGAGUUCUGCACCAAAAGUUAAGAAUUGGGACGAAGUAGGAGAGUCCGUACAUAACGCAGUUCUCGCCGAGUUGUUCAGCAUUCUUUCCGAAGGUGUAGCAUGGCACAAACCAUGUGAUGAUACCUGCAACAAAGAAAGAGCACUGAGAACUGCAAAAACUUGCGAAAAUAUGCAAAUAAAAUUCGAUAAAAAUUUUACGGCUGCAACUCACAGGUGGAGAAGUCCUCAAAGCAGGAGCAGAGUCCGUUAGACCAGUCGUUCGACAUGAUGAAUCGGUUUGUUCAAGUGUUUUGAAGAGAGCUGAAAAUUGUUGCUUGAAGACG